UACGUAGGGGGCAAGCGUUGUCCGGAAUUAUUGGGCGUAAAGCGCGCGCAGGCGGCUUUGUAAGUCUGUCGUUUAAGUUCGGGGCUCAACCCCCGUAUCGCGAUGGAAACUGCAAGGCUUGAGUACAGAAGAGGAAAGUGGAAUUCCACGUGUAGCGGUGAAAUGCGUAGAGAAUGUGGAGGAACACCAGUGGCGAAGGCGACUUUCUGGGCUGAUAACUGACGCUGGAGGCGCGAAAGCGUGGGGAGCAAACAGGA
rnacentral:rRNA from 1 species